GCCUACUUGUCUGUCCAUUCUGCCUUCAGUCACAGGCUCUACUCUUGUCUCCAUGUAACUGUCUAACUGAAACAACUCAAGCUUCACAAUAUCCAUUGCUUUCUAUGUUUAUUUGCUUCUCUGGUUUCCUCCUGAUGGAACACAAGAAGAAAAUUCCAUUUUUAAGGAAUAGAAACAAGUAUGUAUAGCAGCCUUUAGGUGUUCAGAGUGAAGAAAAUUUACAAGGACCGAAACGAGAAAAUAUCCCUGAGUGAAAAAGCAGUUAACUUUUUGAUGGGGUGAAAAGAAGUCCACAUAUGUCAACCUCAGACAUACUGAAUUUUCAGUCUGCUCGCCACGAAGAAUGAUGCUCUCUUUCUGGCUCGGUGCACAAUACAAUCUGUUACACAUGGAUACCAGCAAUAAUACACGGGGGGCUCUGGUGUAGGAGACAGUAAGCUCUGUGCUCAUCCGCUUUCCGAGUCUCAUCCCGCAACAUGGAGUUCCUGCUCACGCUGUGGCCACCAUCAUCGGCAAUUAACACAAAGGAGAAUUCUGAAGAGUUCACAAACAAGAAUCUCGUUCUACUCUGGAAUUUAGGUGCACCUUGACUUCUGCGGAUUCUAACUGGUUUGGAUGCUGAAAUUUGAACUUUGCUUCAAGCCAGAAGGCUAAACGAGCAAGCCCAGUAACUAUAUGCUGCUCUCUAGGAUUGCCUGAAGAUGUCUAAUUCAAGUUGCUGGACUGUUUCAAUCACUUAGAUGCACCGAACCCCCUCAAACAGACCCGUAUAGCCAAAUUUCUGAUGCUAGAUUUGGAGGAGUGAAACAUAUUUCUGCAUUUCUGAAAGCAUUCAAAGGAAGGAACGGGAAAAUGCUGCAUUCUAUUAGUAGGUGUGUACAUGUGCAGAUUCUUUAUUGUGUGAAUUUUUAAAUUGGUCCUCGCUGUGGGCUCAUUUUCUUUUGGGUAUGAAUGUGCUCAGGUUUCUCCACUCUUGAAAUAGCAUCAAAAUAAAAAUAGAAAUUAAAAAUCCUCUGUUUCCACCAAAUAUUUCUUUCUAGCUGCAGCGCUACCUCUCUUCUUGUUUUCAUAACCAACAUGUUUACAGCACUGUCUCUGCCUGCAACCUAUAUUUCAUCUUUCUGAUUCAUCCUUAAUCCCCUGUAACCUGGCCUUGUCUCUACCUUUGGCCAAGAUUGGCGUGUUCUCUUAUGAGUUAAUUUCAGAAUGCCAGUUCUUCCCUUGUGUGAUCUUACUGAGUACUACUCUACUUCUAAUUCCAUCGACCAUGCCUCUUAUCUCAGACCUCAUCACCCCUUGGGUUUACAACACUGAUCACUCCUAGGUUUCUUCUCACUCUCUGCCCUGUCCUUGGUUUUCUUCAGGUCCUUCUCAUGCCAUCUGGUUCUUACACGCUGAUUUUCCAAAAACCUACCCCUAUACUUUUCUUCUGAUCACUCUACACACACUUUCUGAACAGGCUCAUUCACGUGCAUGGUAGCAAUCA